rnacentral:rRNA from 1 species
AACGAACGCUGGCGGCAGGCCUAACACAUGCAAGUCGAGCGCCCGCAAGGGGAGCGGCGGACGGGUGAGUAACGCGUGGGAACGUACCCUUUGCUACGGAAUAGCCUCGGGAAACUGGGAGUAAUACCGUAUGUGCCCUUCGGGGGAAAGAUUUAUCGGCAAAGGAUCGGCCCGCGUUGGAUUAGGUAGUUGGUGGGGUAAUGGCCUACCAAGCCGACGAUCCAUAGCUGGUUUGAGAGGAUGAUCAGCCACACUGGGACUGAGACACGGCCCAGACUCCUACGGGAGGCAGCAGUGGGGAAUCUUAGACAAUGGGCGCAAGCCUGAUCUAGCCAUGCCGCGUGAGCGAUGAAGGCCUUAGGGUUGUAAAGCUCUUUCAGUGGGGAAGAUAAUGACUGUACCCACAGAAGAAGCCCCGGCUAACUCCGUG